rnacentral:rRNA from 1 species
AUGACCAUGGUCACCAACCUGCUCUUUACAACACACGGACUACAAGAACGGUUCUUCAGAAACAACGCCUUCACAAAGGAAACGACGCUGAAGCACCGCCGUUGCUGGAUCCAACCAAUAAAGGCUAGAUCGUGGGUUUUCACCCUGAAGAUAAAGUCUGAGCUAGUUUCAAGCAAUGCCUUCAACAAGCAGCGUUGCACACGCCAUGAAGUCGACAAUGAAGGAAGGACCAUAGUGCACCACCCGCGCGUCCGAGCGGAGAACCACCUAACGGAUAUGGAGAUGGUUGCCGCCGGUGAACCUCAGAUCACGGGAUCGUAG